rnacentral:lncRNA from 1 species
AAAUCUUUUAAAGCUAAACUAAAAGUAAUGACUCAUUAACAGUUCUCUAAGAAAUACAUAAAACUCCCUGGGAGGAGCCUCUUUAGCAGAUUACAGUAUCCGGACUCGAAUGUGUGUUUUCACAGUCAGCUUUGCAUCAGGAAGCAGAAAAGGCAAUAUCUGAUAUUUGAUAUUCAGAUUACACAAAAGGGCAAGGGUGGGUUUGUGAGAGCCAGGCAUAGCUGGGACACGUUCUACAGCGCAAGUGCUCUGGUGAAUUUGCAACGUUUUUACUUUCCGCGCUGGCAGAAAGAAAGCGGUCAUGUUCACUGACCGCGGCAUCCUAUACUGAGAACUCCACAGUGGGAGAAAAAUAGGACCACGGAGAGGCCACGGAAUAUUCCAGCAAGAAGACAUUUAUAUCUCAACAGAGGUAUCUAAG